rnacentral:rRNA from 1 species
UACAGAGACUGCAAGCGUUAUUCGGAUUCACUGGGCGUAAAGGGUGCGCAGGCGGCCAAGUGUGUCAGGUGUGAAAUCCCGAGGCUUAACCUCGGAACUGCGCCUGAAACUACUUGGCUAGAGUACUGGAGAGGGUAACGGAAUUCACGGUGUAGCAGUGAAAUGCGCAGAUAUCAGGAGGAACACCGAUGGCGAAGGCAGGUCUCUGGGCAUUAACUGACGCUGAGGAGCGAAAGCGUGGGGAGCAAACAGG